CCUACGGGAGGCAGCAGUGAGGAAUAUUGGUCAAUGGGCGGAAGCCUGAACCAGCCAAGUCGCGUGAGGGACGAAGGCCCUACGGGUUGUAAACCGCUUUUGUAAGGGGAUAAUAAAUGCUACGUGUAGCAGUAUGCCGGUACCUUAUGAAUAAGCGUCGGCUAACUCCGUGCCAGCAGCCGCGGUAAUACGGAGGGUGCGAGCGUUAUCCGGAUUUAUUGGGGUUAAAGGGUGCGUAGGCGGGUGUUUAAGUUAGCGGUAAAAUUGCGGGGCUCAACCGCGCUUUGCAAUUGAUACUGGAAGACUCGAGUUCAGAAGAGGCAGGCGGAAUUAGUGGUGUAGCGGUGAAAUGCUUAGAGAUAACGAAGAACCCCGAUAGCGAAGGCAGCCUACCGGACUGCGACUGACGCUGAGGCACGAGAGCGUGGGUAGCGAACAGGAUUAGAUACCCGGGUAGUC
rnacentral:rRNA from 1 species